GAUGAACGCUAGCGGCAGGCCUAAUACAUGCAAGUCGAACGAGAUUACGAGGCUUGCUUCUUAUGAAAGUGGCGCACGGGUGCGUAACGCGUAUGCAACCUACCUUAAUCAGGGGGAUAGCCCGAAGAAAUUCGGAUUAAGACCGCAUAAAAACACAGGAUAGCAUUAUCCAAUGUUCAAAUAUUUAUAGGAUUAAGAUGGGCAUGCGUGUCAUUAGCUAGUUGGCGGGGUAACGGCCCACCAAGGCGACGAUGACUAGGGGAUCUGAGAGGAUGACCCCCCACACUGGUACUGAGACACGGACCAGACUCCUACGGGAGGCAGCAGUAAGGAAUAUUGGUCAAUGGAGGGAACUCUGAACCAGCUAUGCCGCGUGCAGGAAGACAGCCCUCUGGGUCGUAAACUGCUUUUAUUCGGGAAUAAACCUUUCUACGUGUAGGAAGCUGAAUGUACCGAAGGAAUAAGGAUCGGCUAACUCCGUG
rnacentral:rRNA from 1 species